AUGAGUGUUGCCAGUAUAUUUUGUAAUCCUUUGAGGAAAGUACCUGGUCUCCUCAUUCAGCUGCAAACUUACCUAAGUGCCUUCCAUACUCUAUACAGUAAGCGGGCGACACCAACUUGUUGAGUUACUGUUUAAAGACCUGGAUUAUGAUGCUGUUGGGGGCCACACUGGGGGUGCUGAGAGAGGUGCCCGGACACAGGGUGCAGUGAGGGCCAGUCCCCUCAGCCUACCCUACUCUCUAGAUUCCUCCUCUCUGGAGCAUCAGGAGGUCCUCUGCCCUCAAGCCAUUUCAAGACCAGAAGAGCCUUGUCACUCACUUCAUCAGGACGGUGAAAUGUGACCACAGAGACCCUGGCAUCACUGAGAGAGGCUCGGAGGGUCGGCCAUUCUGUCUCCUGGCCCUAGGAACAAUUCUCCUUAUGAUACAGAGACUAGCGGCGGGACAGAUAUUUCCAACUCAAUGAAAAACAAGACUCCUGUAGAAAUGCAGAUUGAAUUUGGAUCCUCUUCUCCCCAAGCAGAACACCAGGGAGUGGAGAACACUUGCAUGUCGUGUCAGAACAGUACCCAGCAGUUCAAAAAAACAUUUGUUCUCCAGGUCCUGAGGAGAGACCUGCUGGUUCUUGAGGACCUCAAAGGCCACAGGGAAAUGUCACCAUGGAGGCUCAUGGAAACUCCCCAGGCCGGACAGAACAGACACAUGGUUGAGAGAAUAAAGACAGGCAGACCCG